ensembl:ncRNA Y7A9D.62 ncRNA
CAAAAAGAUUUCUGGAGGUAUGGGGAAUUGAACCCCAGCCCUCUCCCAUGCUAAGGGAGCGCUCUACCACUGAGCUAUACCCCCGCAUGG